GGUCCGUAAAUCCUGUUAAUGGCACCGUAAAAAAACCAAUUUUGGCCAAAGGUAUAAAUAAAAGUGCGCUCUUAACUAUUUAAUUAGACUGGUCAAGAUGAAAACAAUUUCUUUCGCUGUUGUUGCACUCGUACUGACGUUGCAUUCGUUGGAUGUUUUAGGCUACCGCCAAUGCGGUUUUUGCCAUCAAAAAUGUGAUGCUGAUUAUGCCAACAAAGCAAUUCCUUGCACCUCGCAUUGCUUCUCCGUAGUUUUUAAUGAUGGUGGUGUUUAUAGAGGGUGUGCUCCAACCAAAAAUACCGAAUUACCACAAAAGUGUUACAGAUGGAAGAAUGCGCAUAAAGGAAUCAAAGAAUGCUACACUUGCAAUUCAGAUUUUUGUAAUAUGACUCCUUUGUAAAAACUCAAAUGUUCAAACUUGAGGCCAAUAAAUAGAAGUAUCGUAACGGAAAA